CCCGUACCGUAAACCGACACAGGUGGAUGAGGAGAGAAUCCUAAGGCCGACGGGAGAAGCAUUGUUAAGGAACUCGGCAAAAUGACUCCGUAACUUCGGGAGAAGGAGUGCCAGUAAGAUGGCCGCAGAGAAUUGGCCCAAGCAACUGUUUAGCAAAAACACAGGUCUAUGCAAAACCGAAAGGUGAGGUAUAUGGGCUGACGCCUGCCCGGUGCUGGAAGGUUAAGGGGAGUGGUCAGGAAACGAAGCCACGAACUUAAGCCCCAGUAAACGGCGGCCGUAACUAUAACGGUCCUAAGGUAGCGAAAUUCCUUGUCGGGUAAGUUCCGACCCGCACGAAAGGCGUAAUGAUUUGGGCACUGUCUCAACAAUGCACCCGGUGAAAUUGAAAUACCAGUGAAGAUGCUGGUUACCUGCGCCAGGACGGAAAGACCCCAUGGAGCUUUACUCCAGCUUGAUACUGGGAUUCGGUAUUGCAUGUACAGGAUAGGUGGGAGGCUUUGAAGCGGUGACGCCAGUUGCCGUGGAGCUGCUGUUGGGAUACCACCCUUGCAGUACUGGGUUUCUAACCAGCGGCCUUAAACAGGUCGGGGGACAAUGUCAGGUGGGGAGUUUGACUGGGGCGGUCGCCUCCGAAAGGGUAUCGGAGGCGCUCAAAGGUUCCCUCAGAAUGGUCGGAAACCAUUCGAAGAGUGCAAAGGCAGAAGGGAGCUUGACUGCGACACCGACGGGUGGAGCAGGUACGAAAGUAGGACUUAGUGAUCCGGUGGUAUUAAGUGGGAAUGCCAUCGCUCAACGGAUAAAAGCUACCCUGGGGAUAACAGGCUUAUCACUCCCAAGAGUUCACAUCGACGGAGUGGUUUGGCACCUCGAUGUCGGCUCAUCGCAUCCUGGGGCUGAAGUAGGUCCCAAGGGUUGGGCUGUUCGCCCAUUAAAGCGGUACGCGAGCUGGGUUCAGAACGUCGUGAGACAGUUCGGUCCCUAUCCGGCG
rnacentral:rRNA from 1 species